rnacentral:rRNA from 1 species
AGAGCGAACGCUGGCGGCAGGCCUAACACAUGCAAGUCGAACGAACUCUUCGGAGUUAGUGGCGGACGGGUGAGUAACACGUGGGAACGUGCCUUUUGGUUCGGAAUAACUCAGGGAAACUUGUGCUAAUACCGAAUGUGCCCUUCGGGGGAAAGAUUUAUCGCCAUUAGAGCGGCCCGCGUCUGAUUAGCUAGUUGGUGAGGUAAAGGCUCACCAAGGCGACGAUCAGUAGCUGGUCUGAGAGGAUGAUCAGCCACAUUGGGACUGAGACACGGCCCAAACUCCUACGGGAGGCAGCAGUGGGGAAUCUUGCGCAAUGGGCGAAAGCCUGACGCAGCCAUGCCGCGUGAAUGAUGAAGGUCUUAGGAUUGUAAAAUUCUUUCACCGGGGACGAUAAUGACGGUACCCGAGAAGAAGCCCCGGCUAACUUCGUGCCAGCAGCCGC